GUCUUUUUGUUUUAAAUAUAAAGUAUAACCUGCCCAUUGAUAUUUUUAAAAGGCUGCGGUAUUUUGACCGUACAAAGGUAGCAUAAUCAUUAGUUUUUUAAUUAAGAACUUGUAUGAAUGGUUGGAUGAGAAAUAUACUUUUUUAAUAUAAAAAUUGAAUUUUACAUUUUAAUUAAAAGGUUAAAAUAUUUUUAAAAGACGAGAAGACCCUAUAGAGUUUUAUAAUUUAUAUUUAAUGUAAAAAAAAAUUAAUAAAUAUUUUUAUUUAAAUAAUUAUUUUGUUGGGGUGACGAUAAAAUUUAAUUAACUUUUAUUUUUUUUUACAUUAAUAUAUGAAGGAUUGAUCCAUUAUUAGUGAUUAAAAAUUUAAAUUACCUUAGGGAUAACAGCGUAAUUUUUUUUUUAAGUUCAUAUUAAUAAAAAAUUUUGCGACCUCGAUGUUGGAUUAAGAUUUAAUUUUAGGUGCAGAAGUUUAAAAUUUAAGUCUGUUCGACUUUUAAAUUCUU
rnacentral:rRNA from 1 species